GUUCCUUUUCCCAAACUCCCCACUCUGACUCUUCACUUUUCUAUCUCGCAUCCCUCAAAGAAGAGAAAACACUCUCCAUUUUCCUUAAACUCUCGGCCAAAUAUGGAUUCCCCAAGCUGAAAUCGAUUCAUUCUCCCCUAACUCUAAGAAUAUAUGGGUUCAUGCUGCAUCAGCUAGUCAAAAAAUUGCUGCAACAUCAUCAAGGGAUGGAUUGGCAUCUCCUACAUCUGUUGAGAUGCAAACAUAUGAGCCUCCCACUGCAGCAGGUUGUAUCUAACCAAUCCGUUGGUGGAAAUAAUACACCUAAUGAGAGCAAGGAUCUUCAUGACAAUGGAAAUGGACUUCACUGCAAAUAUGUUGCUCAUUUUAGCUUUUUGGAAGAUCAGCAGCAGGAGUUGCUAAUUGACUCAAGAACUAUAAAGAAAAUCUUAUACUUAGGAAAUGUUUUGACAGCACAUAUUUUUUUUGGGACUUGGAUUUGUUUUUGUAAAGCUACCUUGACUUAUAUGUGAAAUUUAGGCCGAAUACCACUUAUCAAACUAUUUGUAGGGUGUUGUUGAACUUCAUUAUGAUAUUCGAAUGUUUGAUAUGAUAUUUUGGCAUUUUGUAAUG